rnacentral:rRNA from 1 species
ACUAAGCCAUGCAUGUGCAAGUAUGAACGCAUCUGCACCGUGAAACUGCGAAUGGCUCAUUAAAUCAGUUAUAGUUUAUUUGAUGGUGCCCCAUUACAUGGAUAACCGUGGUAAUUCUAGAGCUAAUACAUGCAGAAGGUCCCGACUUUACGGAAGGGAUGUAUUUAUUAGAUCCAAAACCAAUGCCGAGGCUUCGGUCUCGGGAAGCUGGUGAUUCAUGAUAACUGCUCGAAUCGCACGGCCUUCGCGCCGGCGAUGAUUCAUUCAAGUUUCUGCCCUAUCAACUUUCGAUGGUAGGGUAUUGGCCUACCAUGGUCGCAACGGGUAACGGAGAAUUAGGGUUCGAUUCCGGAGAGGGAGCCUGAGAAACGGCUACCACAUCCAAGGAAGGCAGCAGGCGCGCAAAUUACCCAAUCCCGACUCGGGGAGGUAGUGACAAUAAAUAACAAUGCCGGCCUCUUGAGUAGGCCGGCAAUUGGAAUGAGUACAAUCCAAACCCCUUAACGAGGAACAAUUGGAGGGCAAGUCUGGUGCCAGCAGCCGCGGUAAUUCCAGCUCCAAUAGCGUAUAUUAAAGUUGUUGCAGUUAAAAAGCUCGUAGUUGGAUUUCGGAGCCGACCGGGCGGUCUGUCGAGAGACACGCACUGCUCGGUGGCUCUUCCUCUCGGAGGCCCUGGCUGCCCUUAACUGGAGCGGGCAGGGGAUUCGGGACGUUUACUUUGAAAAAAUUAGAGUGUUCAAAGCAGGCCGGUGCUUGGAUACAUUAGCAUGGAAUAAUGGAAUAGGGCUUGGGUCCUAUUUUGUUGGUUUUCGGGACCGAGGUCAUGGUUAAGAGGGACAGUUGGGGGCAUUCGUAUUCAAUUGUCAGAGGUGAAAUUCUUGGAUUUAUGGAAGACGAACAACUGCGAAAGCAUUUGCCAAGGAUGUUUUCAUUAAUCAAGAACGAAAGUUGGGGGUUCGAAGACGAUCAGAUACCGUCGUAGUCCCAACCAUAAACUAUGCCGGCUAGGGAUCGGCGGAGGUCGCAAUCGCCUCCGUCGGCACCUUGAGAGAAAUCAGAGCCUUUGGGUUCCGGGGGGAGUAUGGUCGCAAGGCUGAAACUUAAAGGAAUUGACGGAAGGGCACCACCAGGAGUGGAGCCUGCGGCUUAAUUUGACUCAACACGGGGCAACUCACCAGGUCCGGACAUGGGAAGGAUUGACAGAUCGAGAGCUCUUUCUUGAUUCUAUGGGUGGUGGUGCAUGGCCGUUCUUAGUUGGUGGGGUGACUUGUCUGGUUAAUUCCGUUAACGAACGAGACCUUAACCUGCUAACUAGCUGCGCCGUUCCCGAACGGUUGUCCGUGCAGCUUCUUAGAGGGACAGUUGGCUCGAGC